CCUACGGGAGGCAGCAGUGAGGAAUAUUGGUCAAUGGGCGCGAGCCUGAACCAGCCAAGUAGCGUGAAGGAUGACUGCCCUCCGGGUUGUAAACUUCUUUUAUAAAGGAAUAAAGUGAGGCACGUGUGCCUUUUUGUAUGUACUUUAUGAAUAAGGAUCGGCUAACUCCGUGCCAGCAGCCGCGGUAAUAUGGAGGAUCCGAGCGUUAUCCGGAGUUAUUGGGUUUAAAGGGAGCGUAGAUGGGUUUUUAAGUCAGUUGUGAAAGUUUGCGGCUCAACCGUAAAAUUGCAAUUGAUACUGGAAGCCUUGAGUACAGAUGAGGUAGGCGGAAUUCGUGGUGUAGCGGUGAAAUGCUUAGAUAUCACGAAGAACUCCGAUUGCGAAGGCAACUGACUAAACUGCCACUGACAUUGAUGCUCGAGAGUGUGGGUAUCAAACAGGAUUAGAUACCCCAGUAGUC
rnacentral:rRNA from 1 species